rnacentral:rRNA from 1 species
AACGAACGCUGGCGGCAGGCCUAACACAUGCAAGUCGAACGCCCCGCAAGGGGAGUGGCAGACGGGUGAGUAACGCGUGGGAAUCUGCCCAAUGGUACGGAACAACCAAGGGAAACUUUGGUCUAAUACCGUAUGUGCCCGAACGGGAAAGGAUUAUCGCCAUUGGAUGAGCCCGCGUCGGAUUAGCUAGUUGGUAGGGUAAUGGCCUACCAAGGCAACGAUCCGUAGCUGGUCUGAGAGGACGACCAGCCACACUGGGACUGAGACACCGGCCCAGACUCCUACGGGAGGGCAGCAGUGGGGAAUAUUGGUCGAUGGGCGCAAGCCUGAACCAGCCAUGCCGCGUGAGUGAUGAAGGCCC